rnacentral:rRNA from 1 species
GAUGAACGCUGGCGGCGUGCCUAAUACAUGCAAGUCGAGCGAACAGACGAGGAGCUUGCUCCUCUGACGUUAGCCGCGGGCGGGUGAGUAACACGUGUAUAACCUCCCUAUAUGACUGGGAUAACUUCGGGAAACCGGAGCUAAUACCGGAUAAUAUAUUGAACCGCAUGGUUCACUAGUGAAAUACGGUUUUGCUGUCACUUAUCGAUGGAUCCGGGCCGCAUUAGCUAGUUGGUAAGGUAACGGCUUUCCAAGGCGACGAUGCGUAGCCGACCUGCGAGGGGGGUAGACCGCCUGGGAAGUAGAGCAGGGACCAGACGACUGAGGGAGGCAGCAGAAGGGAACGUGCCGCAAUGGUCGAAAAUGUUACGGAAAAACGCGGCGUAAGAUACGACAGCCCUCCGAGCGUAAAAGCCUGUUACAAGGGAAGAACAAAUGUGGAAGGAAAUAUGGCAGUAUUGACGGUACCUGGUCAAAAAGCCCCGGCUAACUACGUG